rnacentral:misc_RNA from 1 species
AAAAAAUUGAUUGUUGACUUAUGAUUUCUCCUGACAGAUGAUUUGGGAUUUCGCGUUGUAGCUGGGCAGUCGCCACUGAAAAUAUCGUCUGUAGCGGAGCGCUUCAGUCAACGGCUCUGCCAAACAGAAUCUUCGCGAACUAUUUUUGACAUACAAAGUAUAAAGAAAAAAAACCCAUGAAAACCGUGAAAAUAAUUCGCGAAGAUUCAAUCGUGUCAAUAAUGUAUUACAGUAUUAUCAAGAAUUCUAUUUUUGAAUUAUCAUCAUCAACCUCCCGAGCGUGAUGUCCGAGUCAAUGAUAACAGCCAGAAUAUAAUGUAUCGAACAAAUAAUGGGCAAAUACGAAGAGGCGAUGCGGACGAUCUUCGGCAAGACAGAUCGGCCAGUGUACGGCAAGCUGGUCCCAUUCAUACACCGAUGACUGUUGCUGAACAAUUCAAGGAAUCCUGGCUGACCGCUAUAAUUGGAUUAAUACUUUUUGCUGCAGGAAUGUUGCUGCUCUUCUGGAAUGAGGGUCGUGCAGUUCGAACGGCACACUCAUUAGAUGAAGCUUUACAUAAUGUAGUACCGUUAAUGAACACAAAACACGUAUUAUCAGAAAACGAAGGCAGGUUGGUGCAUUUUUACGGACCUCUCAAAAUAUUAGAACCUUUGACGGAACCAGACUAUGGAAUUGUAAUAGCGAGUAUCAAGCUGAAAAGACGAGUCCAGAUGUAUCAGUGGAUUGAGAUUGAGGAGGAACGUAGCUUCGGGGGUGUGACUGAAGAUGAAAAGCACUAUUACUACACUAUGGAAUGGAAAGACAAGCUGGUAGAUUCUGACCAAUUCUACAUCAGGACAGGGCAUCACAAUCCCAAAGUCAUGCCUGUGAAAAGUCAGGUUCAAAUUGCUAAUGAGAUCCGAAUCGGAGCUUUAACUCUUGGGGAAGAACUGAAAAAAAAGUUUAACGACUUCGUUGAAGUAACCAGUGAUGAAAGGCCUGAACGGAAAGACAUAAAACUACACUCUGGUCUUUACUAUCACAGCGCAGACUUAUGGAAUCCCCAGAUUGGGGACAUCAGAAUUCAGUUCUCUUACGCUGGAAAGGGUGGAGACGUUUAUUCUGUUGUUGGAAUGCAAGUUAAUGGCGUUAUAGUCCCAUACAUGACAACUCAUGGGGAAGAAAUUUUGCUACAAAGAAAGGAUAGGAUUCCCGUUGACCAAAUGUUCCACCUGGAACACGUCCACAACUAUUGGCGCACUUGGGCAAUAAGAGGUCUUGGGUGGCUGGUGCUCUUCCUGGCAGCUACUUGCCUCGCCAAUAUAAUUCGUACUCUUGUUUUAAAUUCUACAUUUUUGUGCGGCGUUAUUGCUAUUGAAUCUGUGAAUAUCUCAGUCUCAAUGUCCAUCAGUUUGUUAGUCAUCGGUUUUGCUUGGGUCUGGUAUAGACCCAUCAUCGGAUUAUGCCUCGCCCUUGCUUCCAUUGUGCCAUUCGUCUACUCUACAAUUGUUUCCGGACACCAAGGACAACAGCGUGACAAUUACAGAAGACUCUAAAUGAUAAUUCUGUGCAUUACAUAACAAGUAAUCAGAAGUAAUCCAUGAUACUUAGUAAGUGGAUUUGUUUCUCAGUUUGUGAUAACGUUAAACAUGGUGUGCUGUGUGAUUAUCGUGUUUCAUCAAUUCUUUUCAUAGUAUUAAAGUCCGUCAAAAUAACGACAAUACCUCAUCCUCUUUAAUACGGAUAAAGAUAGAUGCACUCCCCAGCUUCUGGAGUUAUGAGAACGAAGGUGGAGGAUAAUUCGAUUCAUUGAAGCGAAAGCACAUUGUUUUCCGUAUGGUUUGACCGAUAAUGUGUACACACAGCUACGCAUACGAUGUUGUAGCAGUGAGGGAGUUUCUAAAACCGAGAAAAUCGAAAUUGAAAACGUGAAUUACGUGUGUGCGUAUAAUGUCGUCUAUGGGUUUAAUGGUCGAGUAGGCGUCUUUCGCGUAUUUGUGACACAUCCACUUAACGUGGUGAGUAUAAUUGAACACUAA